CAUCGCAUUUUCAUUUCCACCCACAGCAAAAUGACGUCAUUUCAAAAAACAAAAGAAGAACUUUUAGAUCGGAUUAUCUCGCUGAAUCCUUUUUGGGCAGGGACUCUCUUUCUAAUUGUCCCAAAUAAGCGGCUUUCUCCAGAGCCCAUUGUAAUUUUGGAGAAACUCACUUGCAACGGUUUUCUCGACAUGUUGUAUAGUGCUUUUAAUCUCCGUCGUGCAGAUCUGCUUAAAGAAAAGAAAUUCACAAACACAAGUCAGUGCACUUGUUCAAAACAAAAAUAAAAUAAAAAUAACAAACAAAACUGUCAAACAAAACUCCCAACAGGAUGAUGGUAACAGUAUUGCCUACUUAAAAUUGUGUUUGAUCCUAAUGAGCUUCAUUGCGUGUGUGUGUGUGUUAGUCGGGUUAAGACAUUUUCUAUUUCUGUGGGUUCUUUAUGUACCUUCCCCCUUUUUCUGAAACAAAACUCCGUUCACUCCAAAUUUUGUUUCAGAAACAUCUAAAUGAAAAUCUCUGUCAUACUCAGGCACACCUAAACCCCAAAUGCUUGCAGGUUACCAUCGGCAACCACGCUGUGUGUUAUUAACCCCUUCUACAAAUACCCUCUUUUGAUGUGUAACACUCUCUGUAUGAUUUCAUAUUCUCUGUAGUGCAUAUCAUGUACAUGUGUGGUGUUGCCUUUCCAUUUUCUCUAACAGUACUCUUGCAUACCUCAGUGCUUGUCUUCCUCCCCCUUUUGCGAUGGUCUGGACACUUUGUCAAUCCUCCACUUCAAGGCAGUCGUUUGUCUCCCCGGAUUCCUUAACCCAAUUUGAUUCCCCACACUAAAACAGCAUUCAUCUGUCCUCACCUGCUCCUUUCUCUCCAUUCUCCUCUCCCACUUUGCCGUCCAAUGGCAGUCAGUUCUCUUCAGCUUUGUCCCGCGUUUGCUCCCACUGUCUCUUUCAUUGCCAUCUUGCUCCAAACACAGCAAGUGUCAAACUCCAACAAUCUUCUCAAAAGUCCUUCACACACAGUGAGGUUGCAGUUUACCGGAAACGCAUCUCCAUUCAUCCAAUCAAGAUGAUGGAUCUUCUCUUUCUGAUGCCGUUUGCCCAAAGUGCUGCUGGACCUCUCUGCUCAGGUCUCUGGUAUUGUCUCUUGGACUGCUGUCCACUGUUGAUGUUCAUCCUCGUGCUUCUGGAACUGCACUCUGUGUCUUCAGGGAGAGAUUAGAUUCCUUGGAGCUUGCUUGUUCAGGAUGAGGACGGGAAGCUGCAAAACAAUUCAGCCAAGAAAUUCUGGCUGGGUGUUUCUUUUUUCUUUUUUUUCUAAUGAUCUUAACCUAUAAUUUCCUUCCGACUGCCGCCCGUGGAGAAUUGAUCCAGGUCCGUUCCCCACCUGUAAUCGACAGACUGAGAGACUUUCAUUAUUCACUGUGACUGGAUAUGUUUUCAUCACUCCUAAAGCAACACAUCUCCACUUAUUUUGUUUUGAACUCUAUUGACUUUAAACCCCGAAAAUGAAAUUUUAUUCGUUCUUAACCACAAACACAAAAAACUUCUUGAUGUUAUUGUUAAUUAUUUUCAUCCACAAUACUCCAAAUUAUGUUUUCUUUUGUGUCCAGCAGGGGAAGAAGAUGACCUGUAGUGUCACUGCUUUCCCCAGUUGGAGACAAUUUCCCACUCACACUUCCACACUUUUUAUUUUCUGUGUUUUCAUUAUUUUCUUCAUCUUUUUUUGUUUUUGUUACACCCACACAUUAACCUGUUCACUCACUCCUCCAAGCUCAUUUUCCUUUCACCCCAACAGCUCUCAUACAAUCAGCAAACAAAUUCUCCAUCCAUCCUUGAGUACUUGGUCACCUUUAAAUGUCACUGUUAAUUUUAUCAAUUUAUUUAUCAUUACUUUAACGCUAAUCCACUGUUUAGUUUUUUCUUUAAUUAUUUUAGUUCACUUUCUCCUAUUUGAUCACUUUGAUUUCUUAACUAUCAUUAUUUCACAGAAAAUCAACAAAUCUACUUUUUCUCCCUCUUUUGUCAUCAAGGAAUUCACACACACACCCAGGCUGGUCACUCGCCCCCACCUUUCUUCCUCUCUCACACACACACACACACACAUUUUACUCCUCCUUUGUUCCACCUGUGAACCCGCCCCUCGAGGCUGGCUCACACACACCUCAUGCUUCUCGCAGUCCCAUUCAAACUUUCUGCGAGACACCUUCUCUGCUGAUACAGGACAACGCCCUGAUCAGCACAAAGAGCGGGUGCCGUCCGCUCUUGUACACCUCAACCUAACUAGGACAAUUAGGCUCAUGAUCUUCCGAUCGCGCCACAUUUGCCUCACGAAUUAUUCAAACUGCGCCACGGACUGGAUACCGCAGUUUCUCUUCCCCAUAAAAAUAAAACCAAAUUAAACCCCCCAAUUGACUUCACAGUUUGCAACAAUUCGCGACACGGCCUCCUGCCGCGAUUUCUGCACACCACAAACACACAUUUUUAGACCCAAAUUCUUUUUGUUACUAUAAUUGACUCCGAGACGCCGACUCUAACGGCGCUUUCCACACACACAACGCAAUUUACUAACGCUGCAGUCAGUGGGGUGAGCCA
ensembl:lncRNA